CUCAAGGAGAUGGAGAAAACACAUGCCAUCAUCCUCUCCGCCUCUGCUAUCACUCUUGUCUCUCUUUCUCCUUCUCCUUCUCCUUCGCCUCUGCUAUCACUCCAUUUCACUCUCUACUUAAGAAAAAAAAUCACUCACUUCUGCACCAAAACACCAUCACCAUGAGCUAAGCUUGACAGAAAAAUAUUAACACAAACCAUCUUCUCUUCAAUCAUUCUCAGAAAACCAUUUUCACUUCAAUCUUUCUCUUGAAAACCCACCACCCUUAAACCCUUCAAGAGAAAUAUUUGUCCUGUUGAAUCCCACCACUAUUUUCUCUUCAAUCUUUCUCGUGAUUGAUUUUCUACAGAAAAGUUAGGGUUUGCAAAAAAAAAAAAAAAAAAAAAAAAUCCCUUGCGCUUUGACCUAAUUCGAGAUAUGGGUUCUUAGAUUGAUGCAUAUGGCACGACUGACAUCAAUAUCUUCUUCCUUCUUUUAUUCAUAUGAGCCACUUAGGGUAAAAUACAGAUGUAUGUGCUACAAGAGGUAAAACGGGGUUUUUAUUUUGGGCCUAAUUUUGUUAAUUAAUGCUAUCAGUAUCAACGUGGUUCAAUUAAAAAGGCUGUUGCUUUAAUGAUUUGAAUUCUUGGCAUAUCAGGAAUUAAAGUUGUUCUUUUAAUGAUUUGAAUUCAUGGCAUAACGGGAAUUAAAAGUUGUUCUUUGAAUGAUUUGAAUUCAUGGCAUAAGAGGGUAUAUAUCCAAAGAGUAAAUACACUUAUUUUUAUAUAGAAAGAGUAAACAAAUACACUCAGUGAUCAUGUCAAAAAUACUUCUUAACAAAUCUCUUAAUUGCACUUGAUGAACAUGAUAGAAGAUUUUGAAGGGAACCCAUGUGAAUAAAAGCUUAAUCGGCCACAGGAUUAUGGAAACAAGGCGACGGCGAGUAACUGGCGCCAGUGUUUUAGAUCUAAAUUCGAAAGGCACCUGCAUUUGUUUAAUGGAAGUGGACGAGGAGGUUCAUAAGGUGGAUAUGAUGGAGGUUCUUACUAGUGCUGUCCUCAGGUUGAAGAAUGUUGGGUUUCUAUUGACAUUUAGCUCGUCCUUCUCCUUGCCAAGUCCGACUGACUUGCAUCUUUUCAAGGAGGGUAUUAGGCCUUUGUGGGAAGUAAGAAUUGUUACUAGUGCUGGUUAUUUCUUUACUCAUGAUGGCCAGGUCAGAUUAGAAAUGGGGAGGAUUCCAAAGUAAAGUGCAAGUGGUAAUUGUGAUUUUUUGCACGCAUGUUCAGUGUUUUAGAUCUAAAUUCGAAAGGCACCUGGAACCUGGAUUGCGUACAUUUUGCUCAAAUAUUAAAGUCGUCGAAACAUUUGUUUAAUGGAAGUGGACUAGGAGCUGCUGGAGGAGGGUGAAGGAAGAGAUUCAUCCACAUUGAGGUCGAAGCUUGAGAACCCUGUUCAGGCUCUUUCCAUUGUCGGGCUUCUUCAAGAUGAUAUUCAUCCCAUGGUGUCUGUUAUGAAGGUGGAGAAGGCACCACCUUUCAUCCUUGUGCUGGUACUGGUGAGAACUUAGAACCUAUAUACCACUAUUAACACAUCAGGAAAAACCGAAAACAAAACUGCUACAACCUAUGUAAUAUGAUUCUAGAGUAGUAGUUAGUGGUUAUCUUAGAGGUUCUAAUUUUCCUCUAUAUGCUAGCUUAUAUCCUCUCUGUCAUUCUCUAUAACUUGAACUCAUAACUGAACUAGAGAAAUAGACUGAAAUUUUCUAUCUUUUGGCUGUUCAUAUCAUUCUUCAGGAACUUAAGAAAUGUCUCCUGAAAGUUUUUCAUUAUUUAGAAACUGAACUUCAUUGGGUAUUGAUUGUAUGUUAUUGGCCUAAAUAUAGUUUUCAAAUGGGAGGCUUUGUUGUUCAGUGUGGCACUCAAUGCUGGAUUUGGCCUGGAUUUAGCCUGAAUUAGUUGUAGGGAACUCUUGACUAGGUCAACGACAAAUUGACUUGACAUAUUUUUUAUGUUGCAAAACUUUAGCAACUGCCAAGACUGUUGCUAAAUUUAGAACCAGAAUAAUAGAACCGGCCCGGCUAAGAUUAGCCGUUCUAAG